UGAUCCGACGACGUCCUCUCCCAAACAGCGCCCUCUCUCCAACGACAGCCAUGCUCCCUCCCGACGAUGGCCUUUCUCUCUCCACUCUCGUGACCUCUCUCUUCCCGAAUCGCGCUCUCCUGAGGACUGAUUCUGCUCGGCUUUCGCCAUCCCUCCGUACUUGCGACCGAGAAGCAAUCAGCUCUUCUCUCUUGUCUAAUCUUCCAUCGACGACUUGCUUCCAUGCUCUGCUCUGCUCUGCUCAAUGCUGUGUCUCCCGAGAAGCCCUAAAUCUACGAGGAUAAGCCCCGCCUUUCAGGGGUGGUUCUUGCAUAAAGGCGAAGCGGUCGCUCUAUUUUCUCGUCUAAUCUUCGAUGGCUCGGUCGGCUCGGCUUGGCUCAAAGCCGUCCCUCUCGAGAAGUCUGGUGUAUUGCUGUGAGAAUUUUUGUGAGAAUUCUCUGCUGAGACAAGUAUCUAGUCUUCUCAGAAGAUUGCUAGCUAUUGAAUCAGGGAAAUUUCAGGACGACUUUUGAUGGAGUACAAUGAUACGUUGCUGAUUACUUACCUGGCCAUGCUCACCAAUCGCUCGAGGCUUCAUUUCAGAAACUCAGAUAAUACUUCUCCUCUUUGCAGCACAAUGAAUGAGCUAAUUGACAAAUUCAACACCGCUUAUGACAGACACGGUAGGAGGGGAGAAAGGACCCCUUUUGUUUGAAAGAUUCCUUUUCUCUAUCAGACCGCCUUCAAUUGAUUAUGGUUCUGCAUCUCUCCUAGCAUUGCGCUUGAUUUGUGGCCUACUGUCUAAGUCUAGGCUUGUGCAUGACGCAGGCGAUCAUGGCCGAUGCAUAUCAAGCAAGUUUCCUUACGGAGGCUCAUACCACAUAGAAGAUGGGAUCAGGGACAUGAAAUCAAAAUUUAAUAGAACACUUUAUACAUUCGCAUUUUACUGCGGUUCUCACUAUUUGCUUGGGAUGUUCCCACCCUCCUGGGCAUUUCGUGUUUCCUGGGGCUAACGAUAGUGAAGUAGGGAACCUUGCUGCAAGAUUUUCAUAUUUUACAGGCAUGUUUUGACCUUUUGGUGUUGCCCUGAGAUGAUGGUCCUGGUAUAGCUUAUGGCAUCUUGUAGUGAUUCUAUAUAUUUAACUUUAUGGAUUUUGAGCAUUGUUGCCGAACUUGAAUACUUGGUCCUGUGUAAGGCUCCUACGUUCGCUUCUGUUUUCCAUCUCUUUUAUCCAAUAACUUUGGUAACUUGCUACGAUGAAGGGGCAAAUUCUUGUAUG